UUAUGGCCAUAUCACUUUGAAACACCGAUUCCUGUACGAUCACUGAAGUUAAGCACUAUUGAACCUGGUCUGUACUUAGAUGGGUGACCACUUGGGAAUACCAGGUGCAGU